rnacentral:rRNA from 1 species
CAGUAGCCACGGUAAUACGUAGGUCCCGAGCGUUGUCCGGAUUUAUUGGGCGUAAAGCGAGCGCAGGCGGUUAUAUAAGUCAGAUGUGAAAUCCCCGGGCUCAACCUGGGAACUGCAUUUGAGACUGUAUGGCUAGAGUGUGUCAGAGGGGGGUAGAAUUCCACGUGUAGCAGUGAAAUGCGUAGAUAUGUGGAGGAAUACCGAUGGCGAAGGUAGCCCCCUGGGAUAACACUGACGCUCAUGCACGAAAGCGUGGGGAGCAAACAGGAUUAGAGACCCGUGUAGUCCCUGUCUCUUAUAC